rnacentral:ncRNA from 1 species
AAAGUAACACUUCGUUCUGAUGCCAAGUUAGCUAUGACUUCUAAACUACAUAUGGUAAACUAAAAGCUUUGUGAACAAUCUAUUGCCUUAAUAAAAUGUUCAACACAUUAAGACUUACGGCUCUAGAAAAAGAAUGUAAAUACACUCUAAGGAACACCCCACAACACCAAUGAUUUAUAUUGUAUACCAGCUAGGAAACUAGGCAACAGAGAUAGUCAAUUCACAAGUGACCAAAUAAGGUGCCAGCAGUCGCGGUUACACCUAAUCUUGAAGCUAAUUUCCGCAAAAUAGAGGCAUUUACCACUGAUCUCAAUUAUACCUGUAGAAAUGAAAUUCUAACUUCUAUAUAUAUACCCUGACAGAUCUUUAUCUAUACCCUCAACAAACCACACCUACAAGACAGGGAUUAGAUACCCCAUUAUUGCGUGGCCCAACACAACAAAUACUAAAAACGAAAGUUUCAAACUUAAAGAACGUGGCGGUGUUCUACACCCUAUUAGGGGAUCCUGUGGCUUAAUUCGAUAACCCACGACCAAUCGAAGCUCUAUUAGUUCACAGCUUAUGUAUGGCCGUCUUAUGUCUGCACACCAAUGUUAUAGCAGGAGACAAUUUAAAGAUAACCUUUAACAAUACAGGUGACAUAUAGCCUAUAUAGAGCAGCUCAUGGGAUACAAAUAAACACUAUUAUCCGAAGGUAACUUGAAACUUGUUACAAAAAGGAGGACUUAAAAGUAAGAUUAAAACAACACUUUAAUCUGAAUAAGAUCUAGAACGCGCACAAAUCGCCCGUCACUCCCAGACUCUAAUCGGGAUAAGUCGUAACAUAGUAGGGGUAACGGAAGUUGCCCCUAAA